rnacentral:tRNA from 2 species
GGGGACGUAGCUCAGUCGGCAGAGCAGCUGCCUUUUAAGCAGCGGGUCGUAGGUUCGAUUCCUACCGUCCUCA